UUCCAGACUCCUACGGGAGGCAGCAGUGGGGAAUAUUGCACAAUGGGGGAAACCCUGAUGCAGCGACGCCGCGUGAGUGAAGAAGUAUUUCGGUAUGUAAAGCUCUAUCAGCAGGAAAGAAAAUGACGGUACCUGACUAAGAAGCCCCGGCUAACUACGUGCCAGCAGCCGCGGUAAUACGUAGGGGGCAAGCGUUAUCCGGAUUUACUGGGUGUAAAGGGAGCGUAGACGGUGAAGCAAGUCUGAAGUGAAAGGCGGGGGCUCAACCCCCGGACUGCUUUGGAAACUGUUUGACUGGAGUGCAGGAGAGGUAAGUGGAAUUCCUAGUGUAGCGGUGAAAUGCGUAGAUAUUAGGAGGAACACCAGUGGCGAAGGCGUCUUACUGGACCGAAACUGACGUUGAGGCUCGAAAGCGUGGGGAGCAAACAGGAUUAGAUACCCUAGUA
rnacentral:rRNA from 1 species